rnacentral:rRNA from 1 species
UUAGAGUUUGAUCCUGGCUCAGGACCCAUAGAGGUGGCGUGCCUAAUACAUGCAAGACGGGCGGAUCCCUCUUUCGGGAUAAGUUAGCGGCGGACGGGUGAGUAACACGUAGGCAACCUGCCUAUAAGACUGGGAUAACUAUCGGAAACGAUAGCUAAGACCGGAUAACUGAUUUUCUCGCAUGAGAAAAUUAUGAAACACGGAGCAAUCUGUGGCUUAUAGAUGGGCCUGCGGCGCAUUAGCUAGUUGGUAGGGUAACGGCCUACCAAGGCGACGAUGCGUAGCCGACCUGAGAGGGUGAACGGCCACACUGGGACUGAGACACGGCCCAUACUCCUACGGGAGGCAGGAGUAGGGAAUCUUCCGCAAUGGACGCAAGUCUGACGGAGCAACCCCGCGUGAGUGAUGAAGGUUUUCGGAUCGUAAAGCUCUGUUGCCCUAGACGAACCGCAAGAGGAGUAACUUCCUUUUGUGUGACGGUAUUAGAGAAAAAAGCCCCCGGUUCAAUACAUUGUCCGCGCUCCCCGUUAAUUUUAUGUGGGGCAGGCUUUCACCCCGCAUUUUUUGGGCCUCUAAGGGCCACCGCAGGCUAGUAUAACUAAGUUGGGGUUUAUAAACCCCUGGGAUCUCACCCCCCGGUCUCCCUCUCAAAACACUGAUUCCUCUUUGUUGUUUCGUCCCAACAAACAGUGAACCUCCCACUUUGCCGCCGUAAAAAUUCGUCUCCGCGUUGUGGGAA